rnacentral:rRNA from 1 species
UACGGAGGGUGCAAGCGUUGUCCGGAUUUAUUGGGCGUAAAGAGCUCGUAGGCGGUUUGUCGCGUCUGCUGUGAAAUUUCGGGGCUCAACCCCGAACUUGCAGUGGGUACGGGCAGACUAGAGUGUGGUAGGGGAGACUGGAAUUCCUGGUGUAGCGGUGAAAUGCGCAGAUAUCAGGAGGAACACCGAUGGCGAAGGCAGGUCUCUGGGCCGCUACUGACGCUGAGAAGCGAAAGCAUGGGGAGCGAACAGG